rnacentral:rRNA from 1 species
AACGAACGCUGGCGGCAUGCCUAACACAUGCAAGUCGAACGAGACCUUCGGGUCUGGUGGCGCACGGGUGCGUAACGCGUGGGAACCUGCCCUUAGGUUCGGAAUAACUCCCCGACAGGGGUGCUAAUACCGGAUAAUGUCUUCGGACCAAAGAUUUAUCGCCUUUGGAUGGGCCCGCGUUGGUUUAGCUUGUUGGUAUGGUAAAAGCCUACCAAGGCGACGAUACAUAGCUGGUCUGAGAGGAUGAUCAGCCACACUGGGACUGAGACACGGCCCAGACUCCUACGGGAGGCAGCAGUGGAGAAUAUUGGACAAUGGGCGAAAGCCUGAUCCAGCAAGGCCGCGUGAGUGAUGAUGGCCUUAGGGUUGUAAAGCUCUUUUACCCGGGAUGAUAAUGACAGUACCGGGAGAAUAAGCUCCGGCUAACUCCGUG